UACGUAGGGUGCGAGCGUUGUCCGGAAUUAUUGGGCGUAAAGGGCUCGUAGGCGGUCUGUCGCGUCGGGAGUGAAAACUCAGGGCUUAACCCUGAGCCUGCUUCCGAUACGGGCAGACUAGAGGUAUGCAGGGGAGAACGGAAUUCCUGGUGUAGCGGUGGAAUGCGCAGAUAUCAGGAGGAACACCGGUGGCGAAGGCGGUUCUCUGGGCAUUACCUGACGCUGAGGAGCGAAAGCCAGGGGAGCAAACGGG
rnacentral:rRNA from 1 species